rnacentral:lncRNA from 1 species
CCGGUCUCCUCUCCACGCUCCUCCCUCAGCAGAGCCCCAGGACACACCGUGAGUGGGGCACAGGGCUGAAAGGACAGAGCAGGAGCAGGAACAGGGAGGAGGCUGCUCACACCCUUCCCACUGCAGGGCAGAUGGCAGCUGGGAUCAGACGAGGGCUUCCCCUGGGAGGGGAGUGUGAGCCCCAGACUUCGGACCAGGCUUUUCACUACCUGAGAAUGAAGUUCUCAGAGCAACAGAAAGGCUAUGGGGUCUGCCAAGAUUUCAUCCAGGACGCAGAAGAAUGGCGGACAAAUGGGGGUUUAUCAGACAGCGCUUGGAGAAAACAGUUUUGUUUGCACUUCGCCCCGUUCAGUCCAGGGCACUCAGUAAGCUGACUGUGUCUGCCAGGCACAGAGCUGGGCGUGAGGAACACAGCAGGCAAGGCUCCUCCACGGGACUGCGCGAAGGCUGCACUCCUGAGACGGUGGCUCGCUUGGGGCUGAAAUCUCAGAGCUCCGCUCGUCCUGAUCUCAAACUCUCCACCCGCCUGCCUCCGAGCUGACUCAUCUUCCGAGACCUGUGUGGUUAGAGUCCCGCAGAGAACCCCUUCCACAGCUGCCCUUCCCAGUGCUUAUUUCACAGCAGGCCACCGUGUCCAAGUGUGCUCCUCCACUCGGCAAAGACUGGGAGCACCUACGAUGUGGCAGACCCUGUGCGAAGCAAAGUUUAAUUUCUGUAGCGAUGAUUCCUCUGCCUAAGCCAUCAGGCCAAAUAACGUCUUCCCCCUACAUCUUGCUGCAAACCCAAUUUUCUCUGCAUGUAACUGGAGCAAAGGUUUCUUUUAUCUCCAGGAAUACUUCUGCUCAAGACACAGGGCAGGAAACAUGCUGCAGAAAAUAAAACAGGAAGAAGCAGAGGUGAAAUUCUGAAGAGCCUUGGAGACACAGCUAAAAUUAAGACUUGUUCUGUAAUUGUUAUUGGAAGACAAUGAAAGGUUUUGAGCUGUGGAACCAGCUUUGUUUGCUAAAAAGAUGAAUGUAACAGCAAGGAAGGAUUGAUGGGAAAGAGGAACGCUUGGCUUUUUAUGGGUGCGCUAGCAAACAUUUGGAACCAUGCCUGAGCACCUCCCAGGGUGGACUGAUAUCUCUCAACUGACAGAUCAACAGCUGGCGCAAACCUCUUUCCUUGGCUGCAUAUUUGAAUUUUUUUAUCAUUUAUUUGAUG